AUUGAACGCUGGUGUGCAGGCCUAACACAUGCAAGUCGAGCGGUAACACAGAGAGCUUGCUCUCGGGUGACGAGCGGCGGACGGGUGAGUAAUGUCUGGGAAACUGCCUGAUGGAGGGGGAUAACUACUGGAAACGGUAGCUAAUACCGCAUAACGUCGCAAGACCAAAGUGGGGGACCUUCGGGCCUCAUGCCAUCAGAUGUGCCCAGAUGGGAUUAGCUAGUAGGUGGGGUAAUGGCUCACCUAGGCGACGAUCCCUAGCUGGUCUGAGAGGAUGACCAGCCACACUGGAACUGAUACACGGUCCAGACUCCUACGGGAGGCAGCAGUGGGGAAUAUUGCACAAUGGGCGCAAGCCUGAUGCAGCCAUGCCGCGUGUAUGAAGAAGGCCUUCGGGUUGUAAAGCACUUUCAGCGAGGAGGAAGGCGUUAAGGUUAAUAACCUUGGCGAUUGACGUUACCCGCAGAAGAAACCCCGGGUAAUUCGGUCCCAGCAACCGCGUUAAACGGAGGGGCCAAGCCGUAAUCGGAAUAACCGGGCGUAAAGCGCACGCAGGCGGUCUGUCAGUCGGAUGUGAAAUCCCCGGGCUCAACCUGGGAACUGCAUUCGAAACUGGCAGGCUAGAGUCUUGUAGAGGGGGGUAGAAUUCCAGGUGUAGCGGUGAAAUGCGUAGAGAUCUGGAGGAAUACCGGUGGCGAAGGCGGCCCCCUGGACAAAGACUGACGCUCAGGUGCGAAAGCGUGGGGAGCAAACAGGAUUAGAUACCCUGGUAGUCCACGCCGUAAACGAUGUCGACUUGGAGGUUGUGCCCUUGAGGCGUGGCUUCCGGAGCUAACGCGUUAAGUCGACCGCCUGGGGAGUACGGCCGCAAGGUUAAAACUCAAAUGAAUUGACGGGGGCCCGCACAAGCGGUGGAGCAUGUGGUUUAAUUCGAUGCAACGCGAAGAACCUUACCUACUCUUGACAUCCAGAGAACUUAGCAGAGAUGCUUUGGUGCCUUCGGGAACUCUGAGACAGGUGCUGCAUGGCUGUCGUCAGCUCGUGUUGUGAAAUGUUGGGUUAAGUCCCGCAACGAGCGCAACCCUUAUCCUUUGUUGCCAGCGGUCCGGCCGGGAACUCAAAGGAGACUGCCAGUGAUAAACUGGAGGAAGGUGGGGAUGACGUCAAGUCAUCAUGGCCCUUACGAGUAGGGCUACACACGUGCUACAAUGGCAUAUACAAAGAGAAGCGACCUCGCGAGAGCAAGCGGACCUCAUAAAGUAUGUCGUAGUCCGGAUUGGAGUCUGCAACUCGACUCCAUGAAGUCGGAAUCGCUAGUAAUCGUAGAUCAGAAUGCUACGGUGAAUACGUUCCCGGGCCU
rnacentral:rRNA from 1 species